AUUGAACGCUGGCGGCAGGCCUAACACAUGCAAGUCGACCGAGUGGCGGACGGGUGAGUAAUGUCUGGGAAACUGCCUGAUGGAGGGGGAUAACUACUGGAAACGGUAGCUAAUACCGCAUACCAUCAGAUGUGCCCAGAUGGGAUUAGCUUUUUGGUGGGGUAACGGCUCACCAAGGCGACGAUCCCUAGCUGGUCUGAGAGGAUGACCAGCAAACAUGGAACUGAGACAAGGUCCAGACGCCUACGGUAGGAAGCAGUGGGGAAUAUUGCACAAGGGGGGCAAGCCUGAUGCAGCCAGGCCGCGUGUAUGAAGAAGGCAUUCGGGUUGUAAGGUACUUUCAGCGGGGAGGCGUUACCCGCAGAAGAAGCACCGGCUAACUCCGUGCCAGCAGCCGCGGUAAUAC
rnacentral:rRNA from 1 species